rnacentral:lncRNA from 1 species
UGUUGUUUUUCUUGCACUAAUUUCAUCUUCUUAUUCACAAUAUGUCUCUCGAGGCCAGUGUGAAGACAGAAAAAUAAAACCAGUAGAACAGUUCCCACUAAUCGCUGUGUAUGGAGGUGAUCAAGUUUACCGCAGAUGGUUCACUGUGAUUACUUCCAACAUCUCAGCCGCCUGCCAGGAAAUAAGCUUUAGAAGAAGAACAAGUUCGGUGGAUGAAUCGCAAUUCACUUUGACACAAAAAAGUUUAGGAAAACAAGAGUUAGAAGGCGUGGUAUCACUGGGAAAUUAUAAUGGGGAAAAGGUUAUAAAUGUACAAUUCAACAAUACCGAAGGCGUGACGCAGUUUAGAAUCCUUGGGUUCGUUAACACGUAUUAUACCAUUGAUUACAAUUGCGUCAAUCUAAAUAGCGCUUCCAGAAGAGAGCUGUUAUAUGUGAGGAGCAGGACCAGAGCGUACUCAGAUGCAAUAGGCGAAGAAAUUGAUCAAAUCAUUAAAAACAACGGCCUGACCGAUAUAAAACUAAUAUACCCUAAUCAGGAGUUUAUGAGUUGUUAUUGAAAUUUGUACGAAAUGAAUUAACAUUAAAUCUGUUAGCAAUUUGAA